GGCCAUGGCUACACGGGCACCGCGGCUCCGCGGCAUGUGGGAUCUUCCCGGACCCGGGCUCGAACCUGUGUCCCCUGCAUUGGCAGGCGGAUUGUUACCCACUGCACAACCUGGGAAGCCCCCGCAGAG